CCCUACGUUUUUCCACAAAAAGAAUACAAUUUAUUUACGCAUAUUCACACCAUACCAGAGACUCACACCCACCCACCACCAUUGAAAUAUGCUUACAUAUGGCCAUUCCAAGAUAACAGCAAUACACAUCACCCUCACUGAAAGAACGUCCAUACACACACUCUCUCAAUAAUACAUAAUUUACACAUACUACACACAGAUGCUAAAAGAGAAAAACAAAUUGGGAGAAAAAUGGUGAUUGAGGGAGAAAUCAGAGAAAGAGAAGAGUGAUUAGAGACAGAGAUGUGAGAUAUGAGAAGAAGGGAGAUCGAGAGAGGGAGGGGGAAAGAACGAACAGAGCGUGUCUAUUUUCAAUGAGUUCUCACCGAAAAUCUGCCAUAUUAGCCAUCAAAACACACCUGCUGUUACUGUUCCAGCAAUAUUUUGCUGGGGAACAUCGUUGAAAUCAGCAUUCCCCAUCGAAUCCGACCACUCGCAGGCCAAAAAUUCCUAAAUCCUCCUCUGAUUCAGUUGCUCCGACAAAAUCUCACUGGGAAACAUCAUAUUAUUAUCUUCCGGAGUCCUUCAAAGCUCUGAUAUAGUGAGCCACAAUCAAAAAAAACCAUGACCAGUCAAUCUCAGUGCCAAAACACAUCGGGAAAAACAACCAAGUUGGAUAGAACUGAGUUUGGGGUCAAAAUCGGUGAUUUGGUUCGACUCGAGGUUUUUGGCGCGGACUUUAUCUCGUUUAAUCAAAUAAUACUUGAUUUAAAGCGACAUUAAGGAAAUGCCCUUUGGCAUGUUGUAUUUAUUCACCAGAGAAUGUCCCAAAGUAUCUUGUAUGCAAAGGAGGUUCGUGAUCAAGGCCCGAGGCAUUGGAUAAAUCAUAGUUUAGGAUUAGCAUAGGUUAGUUUAGACUUACAUUUCAAUAUCUUUUUUUUAAAUUUUGGUUUGUAAUAAAUUGGACUGGACACCAUAUUUUGAAUUUUUGUUGUUCUUA